CAGUGACAUCACACGCUCAUCUGUUGCCAUGGCAAUGGCCAUACAUUCCCAGCGUGCCUUUGGCUCAGCUCCCACCUUCACCUGGAAGCAGGGCUAUUUGCCAAUGGGAAGACCACAAUAUUGAAGCACAUCAAGAAGGUCUAGAAGCACGGAAGGUGAUUUUGCUGUGCAGACUGAUGCUCAUGGACCUCUGAAGAGACUGUAAGAUACCAUGACUUUUAAGGAAAAGCUACAGUGUAAAUAAGCACAGCUUUGUGACGCUUAUUAAAUUCUCAUAAUGCCACAUGCCCCAAUGCCAGGUACCUGGCAAUGCUUAGAGGGAAUUUCUCUAAGAAACAAGACAAGGAAAGAGUGC
ensembl:lncRNA